UGGGGAAUAUUGCACAAUGGGCGCAAGCCUGAUGCAGCCAUGCCGCGUGUAUGAAGAAGGCCUUCGGGUUGUAAAGUACUUUCAGCGAGGAGGAAGGUGUUUGAGGUUUAAUAACCUUUAGCAAUUGACGUUACUCGCAGAAGAAGCACCGGCUAACUCCGUGCCAGCAGCCGCGGUAAAUACGGAGGGUGCAAGCGUUAAUCGGAAUUACCGGGCGUAAAGCGCACCGCAGGCGGUCUGUCAAGUCGGAUGUGAAAUCCCCGGGGCUCAACCUGGGAACUGCAUCCGAAACUGGCAGGCUAGAGUCUUGUAGAGGGGGUAGAAUUCCAGGUGUAGCGGUGAAAUGCGUAGAGAUCUGGAGGAAUACCGGUGGCGAAGGCGGCCCCCGCUGGACAAAGACUGACGCUCAGGUGCGAAAGCGUGGGGAGCAAACA
rnacentral:rRNA from 1 species